rnacentral:rRNA from 1 species
ACGCGAAAGGUUCCUUCGGGAGCCGAGUAGAGUGGCGCACGGGUGAGUAACACGUAGGUAAUUUGCCUUUGGGUGGGGAAUAACUCAGGGAAACUUGAGCUAAUACCGCAUAAUGCAGCGGCACCACAUGGUGACAGUUGUUAAAGCGGGGGAACUUUCGAGUCCUCGCGCCUAAAGAGGAGCCUGCGGCGGAUUAGGUAGUUGGUGAGGUAAUGGCUCACCAAGCCUGCGAUCUGUAGCCGGCCUGAGAGGGCGGUCGGCCACACUGACACUGACAUACGGGCCAGACUCCUACGGGAGGCAGCAGUCGGGAAUUUUGGGCAAUGGGCGAAAGCCUGACCCAGCAACGCCGCGUGAAGGAUGAAGUUUCUCGGAAUGUAAACUUCACAAGAAUGGGAAGAAUAAGUGGGGGAUAAUACCCCCCAUGAUGACGGUACCAUUUGUAAGCUCCGGCUAACUCCGUGCCAGCAGCCGCGGUAAUACGGGGGGAGCAAGCGUUGUUCGGAUUUACUGGGCGUAAAGGGCGCGUAGGCGGCGCAACAAGUCACUUGUGAAAUCUCCGGGCUUAACUCGGAGCGGCCAAGUGAUACUGUCGUGCUAGAGUGCGGAAGGGGCUACUGGAAUUCUCGGUGUAGCGGUGAAAUGCGUAGAUAUCGAGAGGAACACCUGCGGCGAAGGCGGGUAGCUGGGCCGACACUGACGCUGAGGCGCGAAAGCCAGGGGAGCGA